CCCGGGCCUUGUACACACCGCCCGUCACACCACGAAAGUCGGUAACACCCGAAGCCAGUGGCCCAACCCUUUGGGAGGGAGCUGUCGAAGGUGGGAUCAGUGAUUGGGGUG
rnacentral:rRNA from 1 species